AGUGAACGCUGGCGGUAGGCCUAACACAUGCAAGUCGAACGGCAGCACAGUAAGAGCUUGCUCUUACGGGUGGCGAGUGGCGGACGGGUGAGGAAUACAUCGGAAUCUACUUUUUCGUGGGGGAUAACGUAGGGAAACUUACGCUAAUACCGCAUACGACCUACGGGUGAAAGCAGGGGAUCUUCGGACCUUGCGCGAUUGAAUGAGCCGAUGUCGGAUUAGCUAGUUGGCGGGGUAAAGGCCCACCAAGGCGACGAUCCGUAGCUGGUCUGAGAGGAUGAUCAGCCACACUGGAACUGAGACACGGUCCAGACUCCUACGGGAGGCAGCAGUGGGGAAUAUUGGACAAUGGGCGCAAGCCUGAUCCAGCCAUACCGCGUGGGUGAAGAAGGUCUUCGGGUUGUAAAGCCCUUUUGCUGGGAAAGAAAAGCAGCAGGUUAAUACCCCGCUGUUCUGACGGUACCCAAAGAAUAAGCACCGGCUAACUUCGUG
rnacentral:rRNA from 1 species